GAGAAAGUUAAAAAAAUUAAAUUCUAAAGGCUAAAUUUACACUAUAGAGAUUUUUAAUAACUGAAUUCUGGUAACAAGUUGGUUGACUCAAGCUAAGAUUCUUUUCCUUCCACUUCUGCUUUCUUAUUGUUGUUUUUGGUUUUAUUUUUGCAUUUGUGCUGUCACACACAGGAUUUCUCCUCCUUUCAUUUAUUUCCACCAGCAGACCUGCACCAAUACAAAAAUGUGCCCUGUUAAUAAUAAUAGCUGCUGUUUAUUGAUUAUUUACCACAUCCAGGUACUUCAUGUAAGAAUGCUAUACUGUAGCUAAUUAAGAUAAUCACAGAAAAUUAUCAAUAGGUAACUUCGGUUACUAUUUUCUACAUGCUAGCUUUUAUUCUCACUUCAUCCUUACCAUCAUGCUAGGAGGAUAGGUAUUAUUAUCACCAUUUUAGAGAUGAGAAAAGUGAAGUAAAUACUAUUAAUUUCAUUUAGAAGAUAAGUAGAUGAGGCUUAAUCACACAGUUAUUAAGUGGCAAAGACCGGAUUUGAAUCAAGAUAUCUGAUUUUUAAAAUUCACCUUGUUUCAAAGCAUUUUACUUCACCUAAGAAGUUAAUACACCUCACAACCAGAUAACUCCUUCUUUUCAAUUAGACUGUGUCUGUAUCUGGGAUCAGUUGCGAAGCAGAAGUAUGACGUGACUAAGGCCACCGCUGGGUUAGGAUACCCCCAUCCAAGGUCAGGUUCUUAACUUCACUUAGCUCUGAAGACUUACGAUUAGUUUUUCCUCUCCCAUUUUUUGGGUAGCCCUUUCUCUUCUUUUCUGUGGAAAAAUUUGUAACUUACCAGAACAGUUCACAAUAUGACAACAUUGUAGUGGUGACAUCACAGAGACAGAAGGAGGAAGAAUGGCAACCCUUGGACUCCUGGGGAUGUGGGAGCUCCUUGACCACAUGUGGUACCUCUCUUUCCUGAUCCCAGAUUGAGAGCUGUACUAGCCUGGCAUGCAGACAGCAGCUUUAGAAUCAGAUCUGCCUUCUGGCGGCUUCCCACCUAGGAGCCAUGGGACCUUUGUGAAGUCACCAAUUGUGCUGUGGAUGCUUCAUUUGUGAAGGAGAACAGGACUGCCUUGUGAAAUUACGGAUGGUGCUACUAAAACAUAUCAAUAAUUUGAAUUUCACUUUUGUGGAUGCUUUAAACAUCAUAGUCAUUAGAAGGUGGAUCUGGCUGAUUGUACUUUAAGUUUUCAGUUUGAGCUGGAGCUUUGUAUUAUAACAGGAGGGUACUGGACAAGAUGAGGAAACUGAGGUACAGAUGGGAAACUUGCUCAAGUUCACACAGCAAUUAAGUGAUCAAGUCCAAGAGCAAAACCAGGCAGGCUGGCUCCAGAGCUCACGAUAGUCCACCACUGCUUUCCACCAUCACUACGGAAUCAAGUCCAUGAGGAUACUCACCUUAUGUCAGUUGCCUAAGUUGGAAAUUAUAGAAUCUUCAAAUUGGAAGGGACGUUAUCAUCCAAGAUUUCAACUUUCUACUCACUGCAAAAUCCCUUCUGGAACUUCCCAGAUUGAUGAAUUUUCAUCAGCUCUGCUUGAGUACUCCCAGUGACUUGGAAAAAAAACACUGUAAUAUGGAUAUGAAAUAUAAACUGUUCAUGGAUAAAUUAUUGCAUAAUAAAAACAUGCCUAAUGGCUACACUCCCCUAAUAU
rnacentral:lncRNA from 1 species